GGAAAUAGAACAGUUCAUCAAGAAUCUGGAGGACGCUCAAGACGAAUCAGACUUCAAAUGCAAAACCUUGCAAGUCAGAGAACAUGAGGCCAGUGGGAUGACUCAGGAGGACAUCCUCAAGGAGAAGAUGCAGCUACACACAAUGUAUUUGCAGCUCGACAUUAUGAGACAGGAUGUGGUGCGCAAAAUCACGGCCUUGCUGAACCUUGCAGAACACACACAAAACGCCCUGAUUAUGGAAGACUUAGUUGAGUGGAAGCAACGGCAGCGAAUUGCGUGCAUCGGAGGGCCACCCAACGCAUGCCUUGACCAGCUGCAGA